AACGAACGCUGGCGGCAUGCCUAACACAUGCAAGUCGAACGAGACCUUCGGGUCUAGUGGCGCACGGGUGCGUAACGCGUGGGAACCUGCCCUUAGGUUCGGAAUAACUCCCCGAAAGGGGUGCUAAUACCGGAUAAUGUCUUCGGACCAAAGAUUUAUCGCCAUUGGAUGGGCCGGCGUUGGAUUAGCUAGUUGGUAGGGUAAAAGCCUACCAAGGCGACGAUCCAUAGCUGGUCUGAGAGGCUGCUCAGCCACACUGGUACUGAGACCCAGCCCAGAAUCCUACGCAAGGCAGGAGCGGUGAAUAUUGGAAGAUGGGCGAAAGGCUGAAACAGCAAUGCUGCGAGAGUGGUGAAGGUCAUAGUGAAGAAAAGCUGCUUUACAUGCGAAGAUAUUGACAGUACCGACAGAAAAAGCUCCGGCUAACUCCGUG
rnacentral:rRNA from 1 species